rnacentral:lncRNA from 1 species
GCACGUUCCGAUCUUAUUUGUCCCGUUUCGGCCUUUAACGAUGACGGUAGACAUCUAGGGAUUCUGAUUAACAAUCUCAAAUAUUUGAAUUAGAUAUAAAUCUAAU